AGAAUGAACGCUGGCGGCGUGCUUUACACAUGCAAGUUGAGCGAGGCCGGUAGCAAUACCGAGUCGAGCGGCGAACGGGUGAGUAACGCGUGGAUAACCUGCCCUGAAGUGGGGAAUAACCCGGGGAAACUCGGGCUAAUACCGCAUGAUACCGAGAGGUCAAAGAGGGAUCGUAAGAUCUCUUGCUACAGGAGGGGUCCGCGUUCGAUUAGCUAGUUGGUAGGGUAAUGGCCUACCAAGGCGACGAUCGAUAGCCGGCCUGAGAGGGUGAUCGGCCACACUGGAACUGAGACACGGUCCAGACUCCUACGGGAGGCAGCAGUGGGAAUUUGCGCAAUGGGCUAACGCCUGACGCAGCAACGCCGCGUGGAGGAUGAAGUCUUUGGAUUGUAAACUCCUGUCAGUCAGGAAAAGCGACUAGACCUAAUACGUCUGGAGUUGAUUGUACCUGCAGAGGAAGCCCGGACUAACUCUGUCGCCAGCAGCCGCGUAAUCUA
rnacentral:rRNA from 1 species